rnacentral:rRNA from 1 species
GACGAACGCUGGCGGCGUGCCUAACACAUGCAAGUCGAACGGAACGCCCUUGAUUGAGGCUUCGGCCGAUUGAAAGGAAUGUUUAGUGGCGGACGGGUGAGUAACGCGUGAGUAACCUGCCGUGGAGAGUGGAAUAACACAGCGAAAGUUGUGCUAAUACCGCAUAUUGCAAAAGAGUCGCAUGGCUCUUUUGUGAAAGAUUUAUCGCUCCAUGAUGGACUCGCGUCUGAUUAGCUAGUUGGUAGGGUAGAGGCCUACCAAGGCGACGAUCAGUAGCCGGACUGAGAGGUUGAACGGCCACAUUGGGACUGAGACACGGCCCAGACUCCUACGGGAGGCAGCAGUGGGGAAUAUUGCGCAAUGGGGGCAACCCGUGACGCAGCAACGCCGCGUGAAGGAAGAAGGUCUUCGGAUUGUAAACUUCUGUCUUUGGUGAAGAUAAUGACGGUAGCCAAGGAGGAAGCCACGGCUAACUACGUGCCAGCAGCCGACGG